CGCGUUCUUGGCGAGCGGGAGCACGUUGCCGUUGUUCUUCAGCAGCACCUGCGACUUGCGCACGGCCUCGCGGGCCAGCUUCGUGGCCUGGAGGCGCGAC
rnacentral:tRNA from 1 species